GAACGAAUUGAAUCCACAACUUAUGAAAUAACAACUGAAUGUAAUCGAAUCAAAUUGCAAGCAUGUACAUGGUUUCGAAUUACCCCCCAACUAAGGGGGUUUAGUUCCUCAUACUCACAACACAAAGUUUAUUGAAUUGAAACAUUGAAACAUAAGAAAGAUCACACCUAAAAAUUCCAGCAAUCUAAAUUGCACAGCAGGAACAUCUAAGAACCUUUCCUCCUCUUCCUUGGUUGCGGCACAGGGGUUUGUGUGAUGGUUUUUGGGGGUUAUGGAUGGUGUAGAAUGGUGGAAAAGUGUGUAGGAUAGGUGUAUGGGACGGCUAGGGUGGUUUUGGGUCAGAAAAUAUGGUGAAUGAUGAAGGAUAGGUGCUGUUGAAGAUGGGGAAUGGUUUCUGGCAUGAAGGAUUAAUUUCUGGAUUAUGGAGAGGGUUGUCAUUCGGCCAAGGGAGGUAAAACAUAUAUAUAUAUAGGCAGCCAAACCCUAAAGAAAUCAGAUUAGACAAAUGGGCUAGGGUUUAGGUGCGGCUAGGGUUAGGAAAUCCACCAAAAACUAGGGUUUCUAGAACAUUAGGUGCGGCAUGGGCUUAGGGUAAGUAAUCAGAUUUUUUUCAUGUGAACAAGGCCUAGGUGUGGCUGAUUAAGUGGGCUAGGGUUAGGGUUAGGUGCGGCAUAGGUCCAAGAGGCAAAGAUGGGUCAUCCAAAAGCCCAAAGCCGAGAAUAGAAACUCUCGAAAUUGGAAACCUCCAAAAAUAGAAACUUCCAACUUUAGAAACUUUGGUUGCCAAUUCCGAUUUAGGAAAGAUCAACCCAAAAUGGAAACUUUUAGGCUUAGCUUUCCUACUUCAAGUAGGAAACCUCAAAUCUCGAACUCUUCAAUUUCAACCCAACCUUGUGUUCCAAGCAUGUCCUUUUCAUUCCAAGCUCACUUUUUGCUCUAAAAGCUCCAAAUUGCAUCAUUUCAUGUAAUAUGUCCUUUAAACCUGAAAACACAUGAAAGUAGCUUAAAAGACUACUUUAACGAAGAAAACAUAACAAAGAUGCAUAAGAACUAGCUAACUAAGGCGCAUAAAUAUGCUCCUAUCAAAUUCCCCCACACUUAGCUUUUGCUAGUCCUCGAGCAAAACAAACAAAAGAAAGAAAACGAAACGAAACAAACUAACCAAAACAAACCUAAACCUUCCAACGUUUGCCUCAGGGAUUUCCAAUGCACAUGACAUGUUAAAGAUUGCUAUCCCCACAGAUUUGAGUCAUCUUUACACAAGCACAUACUUAAUUAAAGCCACCACUUACUAGUUCACAAGUAAUCAAUUAAAACAAUGCUUUUGAAUGUAGUAACAUGCCUUAGAGACUUCCCUCAAUUCCUUACAAGAUAUACACUCUAUUUUCACUCAGAUUUUCUAACUCCACACCCUACACUAGUCAUAUGUGAGAAGAUUGAUGUAGAUAUGAAAACAAAUGCUCACAUAUAUGUUUCACAAAGAACGCAAUUUCUAGAGUUAAGAAGCAUGUUUAGAUAUGAUCUCAUGAAUGGAAUGCUACUACUUAGAUGCGAGAACCAGUGACACCAUAUGCUCAUACCAAAUUCAAACUCCACAAAUUGAAACACAUAACACUCAAGGUAGAAGUUAAGGGUUGUAAUGGGGCUUAGGUUGUUGGUUAACAAGGAAAUGAUGGGGAAAACAAACGUUCUUCAAGCAAUAGUAAGCAAAGCAAUGAAAUUGAGACUUAGAAUUCACUUAGAUUGCAGAAAUUAACUUUAAAACACAAGGGGAAGACUUAAACAACUCCUUAGGGCCGAAUUCAUUGUUUUGGACCCUUACUUCAACAAACAAUACUUUGGAACUCUUUUUUUUUUUUUUUUUUUCAAACUGUUUUUUUUUUCAUACUUUUCACACUUUUUUCUUCAUUUUUUCUUUUUCCACGAAUUUUUUUUUUUUCUUUUCUUUGCCGUGCCUAUGGCACACAAUUCCUCAUGAAAAAUACUUCCCCCACACUUGGUUUCUGCCAACAUAGAUCAAAAGGAAUUCAAUUCGAAUCAUGCUUUACUAUGCUUUAAGAACAAGGGUAUGGAUGGUCCUAAACUAGGCUAGGUGAGGAUAAUGUGGGUUAACAACAACAUAGGCUAAACAAGGCUCAACGGGGUUAAAACCUACAAAACAUAAUGACAUAGGGGAUUCAUGGCUUUUUGGCUAAGGUGGUGGUCACUACACAACUUCAUCUUGAAUAUGUGUUAUGCAAAUCAAUAACAUGCUUUGAAUGAAAUGGGCAUGAGUUCUAGCAUUUGGAACUAAAUGAUGAAAUGCCUUCUAAGUAGCAACCAAGCAAGGAAUAAUGAGAUCAUGCAACGACUUAGAAAACAAAGAAUGCACAGAUUUUAACUCUCCAAAUAAGCGUUUAGGCUCAAGUCUCACAAGGUUGUAGCGUUAGUUUGAGUUCCUUCCUUCAAGCAUGUUACAAAAACUGAUUUUUUUUCUUUUAUGAUUGCAUGUGAAUUCAUAAGUUAUAACCACAACUAAGCAUAACAAAGAGUAAAUCAAACUUUCAUCCAUGUGAAUCACUCUCUUUAACAGCCAUGUAAUUACAAACCGAAUCCUCAUCAUUGUGUUGGAAGGUACCCUAAGACACAAACAAACACACAAAAACAACUCUUUUUGGGUUUUUAAAACAAAUUUUUCAAAUUUUUAUGUAAUUUUCGGAUUUUUACUUCAAAACACACUAAAACACAUCAAAACUGCUCAAAAACACUUAAAAACAGCAAGGAACAAGUCUUCAAGUUUAGGGUGAUAAAAUCCCAGGAAUUUGCAUCUAAAACACUUAGUUACCCCCCCACACUUAAAUCAAACAUUGUCCUCAAUGUUUCAAGCAUGAAAUCACACUAAACAAAAAGAAACACACAAACAGCAACUAAAACAACUAAAUAGGCAGAUUCAAAAUAAAUAACAAAGGGAAGAGUUUAGGAACGCAAAUCUGGAAUUGGGGUGAUUCCUUGGUCUUCCUCUGUUGAAUUGCAUGGGUUGCCUCCCAAGUAGCGCUUUCUUUUACGUCUUGCAGCCGGACAAUGCUCCUUUGAAGGUUAUUGAACCCCACGACAUGGAGGGGUGUUUCCUCUACACCUUGUCCUUCGAACCACUUCAUGCAUUGGGUCCUUGAAUGGAAUGGGAUAAUGAUCCUUUCGUAGUGUCGUGUUGUGCUUCUCUAAAUCAACACGAACUCUCCCACCAUAUUGACUUUGAUUAGGUACCUGCAUCGUACAAGGUAACAACCGAUUAAUUGAAAUGGGAAUUGAAAUUGGAUCAGGUGGCUUACCUAGGUGCGGCAUAGGAGUGGGAGUACAAUGGACAGAUGCACAAAGGUUGCACUCGGCCAAAUUUGGUGAUUUCAAGGUUGAGGCCGUGCAUUCUUUGUUGCUCACUCCAAUUCCCUCCUCGAUGGUAGUUCGAGGUGCAUUCUUCUUGACUAGUGUUGAACAUUCCUGCCCUAUAUUUUCAAUUACAUUAAUGGCACAACAAGAACGAACAUCAUUAGUAUUCUCAAUUGAUUCAGGAAUCUUAAAGUUAAUCAUAUCACCACCAAAGGCCAUAGUUACGGCUCCCUUGGCCACAUCAAUCUUGGUUUGAGCCGUUUUCAUGAAUGGUCGUCCAAGCAAGAGUGGUGAUGGUGGAGAGUGGGUUGAGUCCUCCAUAUCAAGCACAUAGAAAUCUGCAGGAAAAAUCAAAUGGUCUACCUGCACCAAAACAUCUUCCAACACUCUCUUGGGAUAUGCAUUAGAUCGAUCGGCUAAUUGAAUUAUAACGCCAUCAUUUUUAAGUUUUCCUAGAUUCAUAGAUGCAUAAACAGAAUAUGGCAUGACAUUAAUUGAUGCACCUAGAUCUAGCAUAGCAUGUUCAAAUCUUGUAUUACCAAUUACACAAGGGAUUGUGAAACUACCUGGAUCUUUGCAUUUAGGUGGUAGCUUCCUUUGCAACAUUGCAGAGACAUUCUCGCUUACAUGUACCACCUCCUUCUCCCUAAUCCGCUUCCUCGUUGUACAAAGCUUCUUCAAGAACUUGGCAUACUUCGGGAUUUGCUUGAUUGCAUCCAAAAGAGGUAUGUUAACUUGAACUUUCCUAAAUGUCUCUAGAACAUCUUUUUUCCUCCUCUUCAUUCUUGGAUUGCAAAAAUCUGCUAGGAAAGGGCACAUUGGGUGGAAUAAUGUUAGAAUUAACUGAACUUGGACCUUUCUUACCUAGGGUGGACGGAUUGGAGGACUUAGGAUCAAUGGUUGCUUGCGGCAAAGGUUGCUCCACCUUUGCCGUGGGUUGCUUUGGGUUUUCCUCUCCAGAUUUCAACGUUUCAUCUUCUUUGGGACCUGAUUUUGGUGGUGUAGGACCUGCCCCAACUUCUUUUCCACUCCUUAGCAUGAUUGCAUUUGCGGUUUCAAAGCCUCCCUUUGGAUUUGGAAUGGUGGAACUAGGGAGUUGUCCGGGAUCUCGAAACUUACCUACAAACUCGGCAAUCUGCCCAAUUUGUUUCUCAAGUUGAUCCACCCUUCUGUCUUGGUUUUGCAUAGCUUUAGCUUGAUCUUCCUGCCCAUUAGACAACUUAGUUAGUAUCUUAAGAAGUGCAUCAAUGUCAAGAGACGUACCUGAGGCACUUGGGCCGGAUUGGGCUUGAUUUUGGGGUGGGCCGUAAGUUUUGGGAAAGAACCCCGGGGGUUGUUGCCUAAAGCCUCCUUGGUUUUGAGGUUGUUGGGGCUCCCUCCACUUGAAAUUUGGGUGAUCUCUCCAACCGGGAUUAUAUGUGUUUGAAUAUGGAUCGUUCCUUGGUUGGUUUUGCCCUUGAAACCCAAUUGCAUGGGCGCUUUCCCAUCCACCAUUUUCAAUCAACUGUGGACAUUUUUCAGAGACAUGUCCUUGGAUGGAACAUACGCCACAUACAGUUGGUCCUUGCAUCUUCAUGCCCUCGGCCAUCUGAGACACAAGAGAAGUAAGAUUAGCCAAUUGUGAAUGAAGAUUGGAAGUCGAACUUACCUCAUGUACUUGGUGCCGUGGGGGUCCUCUUUGGCCUACACCCUCGUACUGUUGAGCGUUCAACGCUCUAUUAGCAAUCAAGACCUUGGCAGCCAUGGGUGUUUUGUCCACCAAUGCUCCCCCCGCCGAAGCAUCAAGCAUUUGACGUUCUAGAGGUAGGAGACCCUCGUAGAAGUAUUGCAAAAGCAACUCCUCCUUCAUCUGAUGCUGUGGACAAGAAGCAACAAGUGAUUUAAAUCGUUCAUAAUAUGUAGGAAAAGACUCACCUUCCUCUUGCUGAAUUCCACUUAUCUUUUUGCGUAGGAGGAUGAUGCGAGAAGUUGGAAAGAACUUCUCCAAGAACGCUCUUUUCAUACUCUCCCAAGAAGUGACAGUGCCGGGAGCUAACUCGUAUAACCAAUCCUUGGCUUUAUCCAUCAAAGAGAAUGGAAAAGCCUUCAUCUUCAAGAUAUUUCCGUCAACAUUGACGGGAGUCAUACUAGAGCAAACUACUUCAAAUUCUUUCAAAUGUUUGUUAGGAUCUUCCAUGGACAAGCCAUGGUAUUUAGGAAUAUGAUGAAGCAAACUUGACUUUAAUUCAAACUCAUCCGUCUUACCUUGGGCAUCCAUGGGGUAUUGAAUGCACAAGGGUGCGGCAUUAUCCAAACCUGAGGCGGAAAGCUCCUUGAGUGUACGAUUGUCCAUGGCCAUGCCUUGGACUUCUUCAAAUAUCCCUGCCGUGGCUUCCUCCUCCUCUUCUUGUACGUUUUCUUCAAGGUCAGAUUCGGAAUUGGGUGGAUGGUGUUCUUGCUGGUUUCUAGCUCUUCUUAACUUCCUCUCAAAAUCGUCGUCAAAAUCCAAGACGUUUGCACGAAUCGGUUGAGAGCUUCUAGUCAUACAUUAGUACCUAAGAAACAAGAAACAAAAUUAGGUCAGAAACUUAAACAAAGUCAGAAACAAAGUGAAAUAAAAGAAACAAAAACAAUCCAAGGGAUUAGCAAAAUUGCUAAUCCCCGGCAACGGCGCCAAAAAUUUGAUGCGAAAUAGAUAAGCACACAAAUUAAACCCUCUUUUUGUCAAAUUGUAGCAAAGAUGUAAGUAGGGAUCGUUCUAAACCGGGGAUUAGGAGGGAUUGCUAAACACUUGGAAACUGACUUAAAAACUCAAAAACAAAGUUUAAAACACUAAACUAGACUCAAAGAAUGCAAAAGUAAAGGUUAAAACACUUAAACAAACCUAAAACUCAAAACAGCAACUAGAAGGCUCAAAACUGCCUAAAAACCACUUUCUGGGCAGUUUUGAGCACCUACACUAAUUUGGACGAAAUUUGAUGAAAACUUGAAUCAAAAUACUUAGAAACACAAAUCAAAAUACUUUCUAACUAAUCUAAGACUUCAAAUGAGAGGGGGAUUUGUUUUGGACGAAAAUUUAACACAAAACAGAAACUUUAAUUAGCACAGAUUGUAAAAACGAUUUUGGUGAAAUAGAUGGAUAAAAGGCUAGUUAGGAGGUUCUUCUCCACACAUGUCACACUUGCAAACAAAACGAUUUUCAGUUGUUCUUCCAAUAAAUUAUAAAUACUCAACGCCCCAGAUUAACCGUGAAUUGCACUAAUUAACCCUCAGUUUUUCCACAAGUUAUUAAGUUGGAUGAUUGCAUACGACAACCCAAAACAUUCCCUACAAGUUCCCUACAUGAAUUGCAUAAUAGAGAUACAAGCAAGAAUCAUUACGUUCUAUGAAAAACAUAAGCAUUGACGAAGCAUUUGUUACUAUGAAUUGCAUGAAACUUAUGCUAAGAAUUCAUUCAACGCGAUCGUUUUCAAGCGAUCUUCACUACUUGUGAUUAUAAGAUUGUAACUAUUAGGUGAAACUCCCUCAUAAUCUAGCAUCAUAUUCAUGCAUGAAAACUAAGCGUGCACUCUCAAUCAACAUACAUAAAUAAGUUUAUCAAUCAAAUAGAUGAACGAAUUGAAUCCACAACUUAUGAAAUAACAACUGAAUGUAAUCGAAUCAAAUUGCAAGCAUGUACAUGGUUUCGAAUUACCCCCCAACUAAGGGGGUUUAGUUCCUCAUACUCACAACACAAAGUUUAUUGAAUUGAAACAUUGAAACAUAAGAAAGAUCACACCUAAAAAUUCCAGCAAUCUAAAUUGCACAGCAGGAACAUCUAAGAACCUUCCUCCUCUUCCUUGGUUGCGGCACAGGGGUUUGUGAUGGUUUUUGGGGGUUAUGGAUGGUGUAGAAUGGUGGAAAAGUGUGUAGGAUAGGUGUAUGGGACGGCUAGGGUGGUUUUGGGUCAGAAAAUAUGGUGAAUGAUGAAGGAUAGGUGCUGUUGAAGAUGGGGAAUGGUUUCUGGCAUGAAGGAUUAAUUUCUGGAUUAUGGAGAGGGUUGUAAUUCGGCCAAGGGAGGUAAAACAUAUAUAUAUAGGCAGCCAAACCCUAAAGAAAUCAGAUUAGACAAAUGGGCUAGGGUUUAGGUGCGGCUAGGGUUAGGAAAUCCACCAAAAACUAGGGUUUCUAGAACAUUAGGUGCGGCAUGGGCUUAGGGUAAGUAAUCAGAUUUUUUUCAUGUGAACAAGGCCUAGGUGUGGCUGAUUAAGUGGGCUAGGGUUUAGGGUUAGGUGCGGCAUAGGUCCAAGAGGCAAAGAUGGGUCAUCCAAAAGCCCAAAGCCGAGAAUAGAAACUCUCGAAAUUGGAAACCUCCAAAAAUAGAAACUUCCAACUUUAGAAACUUUGGUUGCCAAUUCCGAUUUAGGAAAGAUCAACCCAAAAUGGAAACUUUUAGGCUUAGCUUUCCUACUUCAAGUAGGAAAC
rnacentral:lncRNA from 1 species